GAUGAAGAACGUAGCGAAAUGGGAUAAGUAAUGUGAAUUGCAGAAUUCAGUGAAUCAUCGAAUCUUUGAACGCACCUUGCGCCUUUUGGUAUUCCGAAAGGCACACCUGUUUGAGCGUCAUGAAUACCUCAAUCUCCAUCUUUUCUUCGGAUUGAUGGGUGACUUGGAUGUUGAGCCCUGCUGGUAUGCUAUAUCAGCUGGCUUUAAACUUAUUAGCCGGCUCUGUACUGGAUCGGUUUGACUCGACGUGAUAAUAUUAUCGUUGAGGAUGCAUGUCUCAUGCAGCCGGAAAGUAUCAAAGCAGCUUCUAGCUUGCCUUUAGUGCACUUUUACAUUUUAGACCUCAGAUCAGGCGGGACUACCCGCUGAACUUAAGCAUAUCAAUAAGCGGAGGA
rnacentral:misc_RNA from 1 species